rnacentral:rRNA from 1 species
UGGGGAAUUUUGGACAAUGGGCGCAAGCCUGAUCCAGCAAUGCCGCGUGCAGGAUGAAGGCCUUCGGGUUGUAAACUGCUUUUGUACGGAACGAAAAAGCUUUCUCUAAUACAGGGGGUGAAUGACGGUACCGUAAGAAUAAGCACCGGCUAACUACGUGCCAGCAGCCGCGGUAAUACGUAGGUUGCAAGCGUUAAUCGGAAUUACUGGGCGUAAAGCGUGCGCAGGCGGUUUUGUAAGACAGAGGUGAAAUCCCCGGGCUCAACCUGGGAACUGCCUUUGUGACUGCAAGGCUGGAGUGCGGCAGAGGGUGAUGGAAUUCCGCGGGUAGCAGGGAAAUGCGUAGAUAUGCGGAGGAACACCGAUGGCGAAGGCAAUCCCCUGGGCCUGCACUGACGCUCAUGCACGAAAGCGUGGGGAGCAAACA